GAUGAACGCUGGCGGCGUGCUUAACACAUGCAAGUCGAACGGAAAGGCUCCUGCUUGCAGGGGUACUCGAGUGGCGAACGGGUGAGUAACACGUGGGUGAUCUGCCCUGCACUUCGGGAUAAGCCUGGGAAACUGGGUCUAAUACCGGAUAGGACGAUGGUUUGGAUGCCAUUGUGGAAAGUUUUUCGGUGUGGGAUGAGCUCGGGGCCUAUUAGCUUGUUGGUGGGGUAAUGGCCUACCAAGGCGUCGGCGGGUAGGCGGCCUGAGAGGGUGGACGGCCACAAUGGGAAUUGGAUACGGGCCAGGCCCCUACGGGGGGCAGGCGUGGGGAAUAUUGCAACAUGGGGGGAAGGCUGGUGCAAGGACGCCGGGGGGGGGAUGACGGGCUUCGGGUUGUAAACUCCUUUCGGUAGGGACGAAGCGUUUUGUGACGGUACCUGGUGAAGAAGCACCGGCUAACUACGUG
rnacentral:rRNA from 1 species